rnacentral:rRNA from 1 species
UACGUAGGCAGCGAGCGUUGUUCGGAGUUACUGGGCGUAAAGGGUGCGUAGGCGGCCGAUUAAGUUUGUCGUGAAAUCUCCCGGCUCAACUGGGAGGGUGCGGCGAGUACUGACCGGCUAGAGUGUGGGAGAGGAGAGUGGAAUUCCUGGUGUAGCGGUGAAAUGCGUAGAUAUCAGGAGGAACACCUGCGGUGUAGACGGCUUCCUGGACCAUUACUGACACUGAUGCACGAAAGCGUGGGUAGCAAACAGG